GAUGAACGCUGGCGGCGUGCCUAAUACAUGCAAGUCGAGCGAACGGACGAGAAGCUUGCUUCCCUGAUGUUAGCGGCGGACGGGUGAGUAAAACGUGGAUAACCUACCUAUAAGAAUGGGAUAACUUCGGGAAACCGGAGCUAAUACCGGAUAAUAUUUUGAACCGCAUGGUUCAAAAGUGAAAGACGGUCUUGCUGUCACUUAUAGAUGGAUCCGCGCUGCAUUAGCUAGUUGGUAAGGUAACGGCUUACCAAGGCAACGAUGCAUAGCCGACCUGAGAGGGUGAUCGGCCACACUGGAACUGAGACACGGUCCAGACUCCUACGGGAGGCAGCAGUAGGGAAUCUUCCGCAAUGGGCGAAAGCCUGACGGAGCAACGCCGCGUGAGUGAUGAAGGUCUUCGGAUCGUAAAACUCUGUUAUUAGGGAAGAACAUAUGUGUAAGUAACUGUGCACAUCUUGACGGUACCUAAUCAGAAAGCCACGGCUAACUACGUG
rnacentral:rRNA from 1 species